GUUGCUCUUGGGUGGCCGCGGCGCCCGCUCCCUCUGAAUUCGCCGGGCAGGGAUACAGCCGCCCGGGGCCUCUUGCUCGUGCUUGGUUUUCCGGACCUUGCUUCCUAAAGGGUCUUUAGGGGUUCCCGGACUCCUCCGCCUGGGAGCCUCUAUCCGCCUGGGAGCCUCUAUGCGCCCCGCAAAGCCCCCGGCAGAGCCGAGGGGAGGCUUCAUUGGCGACCUGGUGGGGCCUCGCGGCCCUGCUCCCUGACGUCAGCGCCGCCGCGGUGAUUUAACAGCUUUUGUUUUGGGCAGAAGAACCUAUGGGCACAAAAAGCAGGAACGAGUAGCGGUGGCUGAAGAACGAGCAGGAGCUUGAAUUUCAGUUUUCUUAUGAGGAAUUUUCCAGAAAAGAUAUCUUCACUGUGAAAUAACUAAAUAAAUGCCCACUCAGUACAGUCACUGUCUCCCUUUUGGAACUUGAUGGCACCUUAAGCCCAGGUUUGCCUCCACUCUAGAAACUCAUCAGAGUGAUGCCCUUCUCAAAUGGGGGAGGUCCCAAAGCGGAUAUCCUGGCAGUGUGAAAGGCCGGCUAAAGGUUUGUGCCAAGAGGAUCUGUGGAAUGCAUCUCCUACAGCUGGUGCUGCUGAGUAACCACUCUGAUCUGGCAUCUUCUUUGAUCAAGUUACAGAGCAGAGUUUCCAGGGCUGGGGAUUGAAGUCCUGCCUCCUCCCUUUGUCUCUGGUUGUCCUCGGUAAUGUUUUUCCCUCAAGGUACUCAUGAUACUUCCCAUGGGGUGAGUCAGGGACAGGUCUCUUUCCAGGGAAUCCAGGAUGGUAGGGAGGUUGGUUGUCUACCUUGAUCUCACUUUUUCCAUUGUAGAAACUGUGAGUUGGGGAAAGUUUUCCACACACUUGGUGCUGGACAGAUUGUGGCAAGGGGCACCACAGAUAUAAAAAUCUGAUUCUUUUACCAUGCUCAGAGUUUUUUCACUUCUGUGUCCCCAGGAAUUGACUCAUCCUCAUAUCUGAGUUCUGGGAUAUUGUUGGUGAUAAUCUCAGUGCUGUAUAUUUGUUUUUGGUUUUCUGGUGUGGAAGUGAAGCCAGCUUGCGUCUACACUGCCAUUUUUGAACUAGAAGUCCACCUGAUGCCAUGUGGGUCUGCUCUAACAAAGAUGCCUGUAGCUGUCUCUGUAGGUACAAUUGGAGCUACUACCUCAUAAAGUUUGUGGUAGCCCACUAUCUGGUUUUUGGAGGGGCUAGACUGGUAAAUUAAAUGGAGAUACAAUUUGAACCAUCAUCCCCGAAUCUUUUAGGUCUUUUAGGAUGGCAUUAAUUUCUGCCAUUCCCUGAAAUAUUAUUUUUUGAUUUACUGUAUUGGUAUGGAGAAGAGGUCAAUUUUUAAAGCUUCCACCUGGCCACUUGGCCUUUAUCACUAUGUUAGCUCUUACCACACACACCGAGAAACCUGGUGCCACUAAUCAAGUGUAUUUAUCACAAUUAUACACUCAAGGACUAGGUGGGUCUGUGGAUAUAUUGUGAGCCAGACUUGGGCCAGGACACCCUAGGACUUGGCCUCCAUAACCCUUACUCUAAUCAAGGGCAUAUAGUGAGAGUUCUGUGAUAUCAUUGUUAACUCAGACCCUGUUUCCAACAGAUAUCAAAAUGUUGAGUAUUCCCCUUUCACCACUGUAUGAUUUCCUGAGUAAUGGUGAUAGGUCCCUUUGGAGAAGGACUAGAGGAAUCAUUAUUGUGCACACUUGUGGUAUUACACAAUCCUUCCUCCUGGGGACCCAGAUUCUUCUUUAGUUAAUGGGCCUGGAUCCAAAAACGGACUCAGGUCUGGAAAUCGGACAAGGGGUCAUGAUUAUUUUUUAUUUUUAUUUAUUUAUUUAUUUAUUUAUUUUUGAGACAGAGUCUCCCUCUUUAGCCCAGGCUGGAGUGCAGUGGCACAAUCUCUACUCAUGGCAACCUCCAUCUCCUGGGUUCAAGCAAUUCUUUUGCCUCAGCCUCCCGAGUAACUGGAUUACAGGCGCGCACCACCUUGCCCGGCUAAUGUUUGUAUUUUUAGUAGAGACAGGGUUUCACCAUGUUGGCCAGGCUGGUCUUGAACUACUGGCCUCAGGGAAUCCACCCUCCUCGGCCUUCCAAAGUACUAAAUUUAUAGUCAUGAGCCACUGCACCCCGCCAGUUUAACUUUUUUUUAAUUGGCUUAGUUGCCAAGAGAGGAAGUUGGGGAGGAUCCUGAGGAGUGUAUGUUUUGUCCUUGGAGAGAGAGCUCAUUGUCUUCAAGCAAAAGAGGGAGCACACUAGCCCUUAUUAGAGAAGAGAGGGGCACUUCUGUAGCCUUAGAAGGUUCUGGAAACCUGAGGAUUGAAGAUUUUUCAGGUGCAUCAACCCAGAUGGUUUCAUCCCAUGUGUCAGGGUUCCAUUUUUUCCCAAUCAGGGUCCUGACAACAGCACAGUAGACCUGCCUAGCUUGGGUCCUAACUUCUUUGGAGUUUUAUUCUCAUGACUAAGUCCUGGGCCUGGUCCUCAGCUUCCUCUCCUCAUUGGCUUGAGAACCUGAGAGUCUCAUAUUCUACGAGGGAGGCUUUCUGGCCCUCACACUGAGUUUUUGUUUGUUUUUGAGACAAGAUCUUGCUUUGUCACUAAGGCUGAGUGUGUAGUUGCACCCAGGCUGGGAGUGCAGUGGCACAGUAAGCUACUGUAACCUUGAACUCCUGGACCCAAAUUAUCCUCUGGCCUCAGCCUCUUGAGUAACAGAACAACAAAUGCAUGCCACUAUGCCCUGCUGAUUUUAAAUUUUUGUGGAGAUGGGCCUUGCUAUGUUGCCCAGGCUGGUCUUGAAUUCCUGGCCUCAAGCUAUCCUCCCUUUUCAGUCUUCUGAGGCACUGGAAUUACAGGCAUGAGCCACGGCUCUUGGUCCCACACUCAGCUUCUAAUUACCAACUAAUCACUCUCAUUCUUUUAUUUUGAGACAGGGUCUCAUUCUGUAGCUCAAGCUGGAGUACAGUAGUGCAAAUAUAGCUCACUGCAGCCUCAAACUCCUGGGGUCAGGUGAUCUUCUUGCCUCAGCUUCCCAAAUAGCUAGGACUACAGCCACAAGCUACUGGGCAUGGAUAAUUUUUUAAAUAUUUGUAGAGACAGGGUCUCGCUAUGUUGCCCAGGCUGGUCUCAAACUCCUGGCUCAGCCUCCCAAAGUGCUGGGAUUACAAGUGUGAGCCACUAUGCCUGGCCCAUUCUCAUUCUUCUGUUAUCUUUUUCCAAGGUAUCGGUCUAGCUCAGUAAUAACUCUUCAGUUCCACUGUCUACACUGUUUCCCACCUGAUCUUCGUGCCUGCCGGUGCAUUUCUUUGUGUUGACAUGCCAUCUCAGUUCACCACUAGUCAAAGUUUUAAUAACUGCACUGUCAGGGUGUGCUAGCAGUUAACUUCUCCCUGCCCCAGUGAGGAGACUCUCAUCCUAUAAGUGAGAAGGCAAGAGAAAUGGCUCCAAAAGCACACUGGAGCACCUACUUUCCUGCAACCCUUCUGAUACCAAGUAUCACAGAUGCUGAGAUGAAGAUUAGUGGGUAGGAGAUUUGGAUUGCCACCUGUGGAAAGAAAGGAAACUCCACUGGGUGGAGGAAGAAUAUGGACUAUGAUGCAAUCUCAAAGGUGGCCUUAGCUGACACUAAGGGGAACUCUGAAGCUAGGAUGGUCUUUCAGAUUGUUCUAAUAUGGGGCAAUGGGACUAGUCUUUGCAUGCAGCCUGGCCCAAGAAGGAAGUGUGACUUCAGAUGAGGUGGCUCUUUUCACUUAAGAGGGCAAUUCUACUGACAGCUGAGGGCCGUUGGGUGCACACUGCCAGAGCGAGAAAACAAAAUCCUCUGUAGGGAAGGGGACUGUGUGGCAUAUCACAGCACACCCCGAGAACAAGGGAGCGGCUCUUCAUCAAAUAACACAAUAUGGGCCCACAUAUUCCCAGAGGCUGCUAUAGUGCUGGGCACAUUAGUGCUCAAUAACUUAUUGAAUUAGUAUUAUCAUAUUGUGCUAUUGCCAUCCUCAUCUUUUAAAGUCACUUAUCACUUAAUGGAUGUUCUUGUUAGAACUGACACUAUGAAGAUGACUAUGACACAAUUACCUGUUGAGCCUAUUUGAGAAAUUAACCUAUAUUUAACAAGUUUGACUAAUUAGAUUGGUUAAGAGCCUUAGCAGAGGGCUAAACAAAAUGGUGUUAAAGAAUACACCUGAUGGUCCAAGAAAAUCCCUAACUCCCUAGAAGGUCUGGAUAGUCUGAGAAGUGACAUUCGAACAGUGUAAUGCACUUUCCUCCAGAGCCAGAAGCAGGGAAAGCAGAGGCAGCAGCAAUUUUAUCUUCUGGGCACCUUAUCCUCAGACCUCAUUUUAUCAAUACAUACGGACUGUCUACAACCACGUAAUAUCCUUUUCAUCAGCCUUAUGAAAUUUUCCCCCAAUUUAUCCAAGUCAGGAUUUCAGUAUGCAGAAGUCUAAUGUCAUCUUGGAGAGUUCAUUGUGCCUCCCCCAUAUCCAAGACCAUUUACUAAAACCUUAGUUCAGUCUUUAAAGAGUCACAAGAUCCUAUUAUGCCUAGUUUUUUUUCCAGUCUUUUAAGUCUAUUCCUUACCUUGCCAAAAAAGUACCUGUUUCUAUGGUUUAACAAAUGGAGCUUAGAAUAUGGAACUAUGGUAAGUGCUCUUUAGAAUUUAAAAUAAGUUACAUGUACUGGUUUUCCUUUAUUUUGUAGUUUUGUUCUCAAAGAAUUCCAGAUAUGAUUUUUUUCCAGACAAAAAUACCUGCUACAUGCUUCCUUCUGUAUGAAUACAUGAGACCUACCUUCAUUCAUGUUUCCUCUAUGAAGCUUUCCCUGCACUCCAAACACAGAGCUGAGACUUCCACCUAAUGUAGAAAGCUAGCACGAGCCGGCGCUGACAGAUGGAAGACUUGAGAUGUUACAAGAUUAUAUAUGGAAACACAAAAGGAGUGGAGUUGCUGGGUCAUAUGGCAAUUCAUUUGAGGAACUGAGAAGCUUAUUCCAUGGAGGCUGAACUGUUUUAUAUUCCCACCAGCAACGUAUUCUGUAUCCUCCAUAGUCCUAUUCAUGACAUGGGUCGUUCAUCUCUGUAUUCUAAACCCUCAAUGAACUGUAGACAGUAAUAAAUAUUUAUUGGAUGAAUGGUCUCUCAUCAGCCACCUUUUCUUUUUUUUUUUUUGAGACAGAGUCUCACUCUGUCACUCAGGCUGGAGUGCAGUGGCGCGAUCUCGGUUCACUGCAACCUCUGCCUCCCGGGUUCAAGUGAUUCUCCCACCUGAGCCUCCCGAGUAGCUGGGAUUACAGGUGCACGCCACCUUGUCUGGCUAAUUUUUGUAUUUUUAGUAGAGACAGGGUUUCACCGUGUUGGUCAGGCUGGUCUCAAACGCCUGACCUCAGGUGAUCUGCCCGACUUGGCCUCCCAAAGUGCUGGGAUUACAGGUGUGAGCCACCGCACCUGGCCUCCAGCCUCUUUUCUUUUUUUUUUUUGAGACAAGUCUAACUCUGUCACCCAGGCUGGAGAGCAGCGGCAUGAUCAUGGCUCACUGCUGCCUCAACCUCAGAGGCUCAAGUCAUUGUCCCCACCUCAGCCUCCCUAGUAGACUGGACUACAGGCAUGUGCCACCACACCCAGCUAAUUUUUCAUCAGCCACCUUUUCUAACCAUCUGUCUGCACUGACUUCCCAGGUUCUGCAUCAUUAUUGGUUUACUGAGACAAUGCACUUCACCCGUCCUUCAAUCCCAAAGUAGCACAGAAUAUCAGGAGUUCUUUGAGCCCCUAAGUGCCCUACUUUCCCAGGGUCAGGGGACCCUGACAAGCAAGGUCCCCACAUCUUUCUGUGGUUGGAUAGGGAUAUAAAAUUUCUCACACAUGUUAAAUCAAGAUACUUUGGCCAGGCACGGUGGCUCACACCUGUAAUCCCAGCACUUUGGGAGGCUGAGGUGUACAGAUCACUUGAGGUCAGGAGUUUGAGACAAGCCUGGUCAACAUGGUGAAACUCCCAUCUCUACUAAAAAAAAAAAAACUUUGGGAGGCCGAGGUGGGUGGAUCAUGAGGUCAGGAGUUUGAGACCAGCCUGGCCAACAUGGUGAAACCCCGUCUCUACUAAAAAUGCAAAAAUUAGGUGGGUGUGGUGGCACACAGCAGUAGUCCCAGCUACUCAGGAGGCUGAGGCAGGAGAAUUGCUUGAACCUGGGAGGCAGAGGUUACAGUGAGCUGAGAUCAUGCCACCGCACUCCAACCAGGGCAACAGAUCAAGACUCCAUCUUGGGGAAAAAAAAAAAAAUUAGCCAGGCUUGGUGGUGGAUGCCUGUAUUCCCAGCUUCUUGGGAGACUGAAGCAGGAGGAUCGCUUGAACCCAGGAGGCAGAGGUUGCAGUGAGUUGAGAUUGUGCCACUGUACUCCAGCCUGGGCAACAGAAACAAUACUCCGUCUCAAAAAAAAAAAAAAAAAAAAAAAAUCAAGACACCAAACACACACAACUAAUUAGCUCUAUAAAUUGAAUUAAAAGAAAAUCCAUACUGACUUGCUUUCCCAUCUGUCCAUAUUUGUCUAUCCAAAUGAUUAAGGGCUAGAGAAAAUACAGAUGAUGAUGGCUGAGAUGGGAUAAAACUAUAAAUUGACUUGGUUCCAUUUACCUCCCAGAAUCAGCAUACAGUGACAAAGUAGAGAGAAAAGGUCUGGGCACCACAAACUUGUACUUGUGCUAGAAAUGUAGGUGCCUUUUCAUUUGCCCAGCAGGGCUAGUUUAACAGCCAGGGUAUCUUCUGGGACUCUUCCCCAAAUCUUGCUCUACCGCUGACUAGCUAUGUGAUCUUGGGCAAGUUUCUCAACCUUUCUGUGCCUUUCUUCCUUUACUUAUAAAUAAGGAUAACAGAAUUUGCUUCAUAGAGUUAGUCUGAGGAUUCAGUAAGUAGAUACGUGUAAUCUUAGAACAGUGUCUGGCACACAGUAAAACUCUAUCUUUGCUAUUGUUGUUUUUGUUAUAACUGUAUAGAUGUUAGCUAUUAUUACUAUCCACAAGAAUGGGACAUAUCAAUUAUAUAUAUUACUGGCCUAGUAAUUAUAUAUACUUAGAAUCCCUGAUCAAUAAAAUAAAUUGUAAUAGAAAUUUUUAUUCCUCAAACACAUUUUUGUUCCUCAAACACAUUUUUAAAUAAACAUGUCUUGGGAAAGCCAAAGAAAAAAAAAUCAUACCUAUAUCCAAAUAUGUUAUAUUAAAACCUUGUUCCUUGGCAAUUUCACUAAGCAGCUGGAUGUAAUCUGUAUUUGGAAUACUAAGGAGGCUUCUUUUCAGUAAGUUGAUCUUUUCACCAGGAGAAUUCCUCAAGGAAUGCCAAGUACAUCCUAAAGAAUGUCCUACUACAUUUGUCUGAAAAACAGAGAUGAAGAUUUAGACUCUUGACUAGGACUGGGUUCCAACACCCGUACCAGUAUCAUUAAAAGUACUUAUUAAGCACUCACAUUUAAUAUGUUAUAAAGCAUGUUUAAAUGGAUAACAUUUGGUUAAUUUUCCAAUUUAAACAAGACAACAUUAAAAAGUACACAUUUAACAAUACUAUAUGUUUUUAAGAAGCACUUGCAAUAAUAUACUGAAAGCAUUUUGUAUUUUGUAUAGUACAAAUGUUUCUCAGUCAAGUUUUCUGAUGGUCACAUUAAGAGGUACAAGAUAUCUGGAAGCACCAUAAGUAAAUCCACAAAUAAUUAAAUCUGCCUAAUGGAGCAAUUUGCAGAUUAAAAUAUAGAACAAUUUUCAUAUCUUUGGUUUUUUUUGUAUUAAAUACCAAUCACUAUAACUGACAGCUAUCAAACAGGAAAAAAAACAGAAAAAAAAACUAAAAAAAACAUGAAAUGUGCGCGUUGGGUUUGAGGAACAAGUCAUUCAAAUAAAUGACAGGAUGUCAAAAAGUUCUUAUCAGACUUCUAUCCCAGAACCCAACUGAGUAUUUUUUUCCUUUUUCUUUCUGCUUUUCCUCUUUCCUUUAUCCUCCCCUAUAUCCUUCCCUUUUCAUCUCUGUCCUUAGAAUGCCUUAUAUUUCCAUAUUAGUUUAUGGUUCUCAAAUUGCUUUCAUAUGCCAUUAAUAAAAACAACUACUUUCUGAAGUAAGUAGGGUUACUACUCUUAAUAUUGUUUUAUUAAUGAGCACGACAGAGGGGAGGCAAUUUCCAAAAGAUUUUAGAGAUGGCAUGAUAUGGAAUUAAGUAAUUUAUUAGAUUUACCAAAUAAAAAUUUACAUUAUAGAAACUUUAAAAUACUGUUUUUAAAUAAAGAACACUAUUUACAUGGUUAAAAAUAUACAUGCACUAAGAACAAAUAUAUAAUGAAGAGUACAGUCUCUUUUCCUUACCACCCAUUCCCUGAAGACCUCUGUUCUAUUUCUUAGACAUACUGUUAAACAUUUUUCAGUAUCUUCCCAUAAAUGUUCUAUGCAUAUGCAAGCACACACAAUCUUUUAAAGCAAAUGAUAACUUACUCCUCUACAUCUUGUUCAUUUUUCUUUUAUCAGUGCACAUAUAUGCACUGUAUUUACCUUACGGAUCUCCAACUGUGAGCUUUAGGUUGUUUCUAGUUUCUUGCUUUUACUAGCAAUAAACACUCUUUUGCACUUGAAUGAGUUUCUCUGUAGAAUUAUUUCUAGAAGUGGAACUGCUAAGUCAAAGAACAUGUACACUUUUAAUUUUGAUAAAUACUUCCAAACUGAUUUCUGAACCAAUUUAUACUCCUACCAACUGUCUUGGAGGGGGCUUGUUUUCUCAUACCCUCACUAAUACCAGCUAUUAUCAAAUUUUGUAGUUUUUGCCAAUCUAAAAGGUGAAAAUAUUUUAUCUUGCAUGAAUAAAGUUGAAUAUUUUUUCUUUUUUUCCCUUAAUCGUUUGCAUUUCUUCUACUGGGUUGUCUUUUUAACUGAUGCAUAAGAGCUUUUUAAAUUUUCUCUUUUUUAAGAGUUAGGAUCUUGCUGUGUGGCUUAACUCUCAAACUCUUGGGCUCUAGCAGUCCUCCCACCUUAGCCUCCCGAGUAGCUGGGACUACAGGCAUGUGCUGCUGUGUGCAGCAGAUGUGUACAAAAGAGCUUUAAAGGUAGUACUGAAAACAGUUCCUUUAUAGUUCUAUGUUGAAAAUAAUUUCUUCCCACUUUUUUAUUGUCUUAAUUUACAGAUUUUUUGCUGUGCAGUAGGUUUUAUGUUGUCAAAUGUAUUAAUCUUUUAACCUAGGUUUUAAGUUAAAAUGCUUUCCCCAUGCUAAGAUUUUUAAAAAGAAAAACUCUUCCAUGUUUCCUAAUAUUUAUACUGUUUCAAAUUUUUAUGUUCAAAUCUUUGAUCCAUCUGAAAUUCACUUUGGUGUAAGGAAUAAGGAAGCAUUCUAAAUAGAUGUCAUACACAUCAACAAAUAUAUAUAUAUAGCCCCCACCCAAAUGUGGAUGUAAACUGUUUCUACAUCAUUAUUGAAUAAUCCAUCCUCUCACCCACUGAUCUGAAAUCUCACUGUUGCUAUAUACUAUGGUCCUAUGUGGAUUAGCAUCUACGCCUGGAUUCUCUAUUCGCUCCUCUGACUAUUCCUGGCCCAGUAACUUGUCUGACAAGUUCAGUUUUACAGUAUGUUUUGUUCUCUAGUAAAGCAGCACACCCUUGCUCUCCCAACUCUUCCUUUUCAGUUUUCUUGGCUAUUCUUGAGGGUUUUUUUCCAGAUAAACUUCAAUAAACGUGUAUCAAGGUCCAAAAUGAACGCUGGUAGGUUUUUUUUUUUUUCGAGUUGGGGUCUCACUCUGUCGCCUAGGCUGGAGUGCAGUGGCGUGGAUCUCUGCUCACUGCAAGCUCCGCCUCCCGGGUUCAUGCCAUUCUCCUGACUCAGCCUCCGGAGUAGCGGGGACUACAGGCGCACGCCACCAGGCCCGGCUAAUUUUUUUUUUUGUAUUUUUAGUAGAGACGGGGUUUCACCGCGUUAGCCAGAAUGGUUUCUAUCUCCUGACCUCAUGAUCCGCCCACCUCGGCCUCCCAAAGUGCUGGGAUUACAGGCGUGAGCCACUGUGCCUGGCCAAACGCUGGUAGGUUUUGAGUGAGACCACAUUACAUUUAAAUAUAUUUACAAUGUUUUCUGCUCUAUUCUUUAGUAGACUUUUCCUCACGUGGUCCUACGCAUUUCUUUCUAAGUUUAUUUUCAUAUAGCCUAUCCCUGUCUACAAUUUAAAUUGGGAUCUUCUAUAUUCUAGUUAUUAUUUGUAAAUAAGAAAACUACUGACUUUUUUCUAGUAUAUUUUCUCAGAAUAGGAUUUUCUAUUUUUCUAUAAAAUGACCAAUGUUAUGAAGCUUCGUAAGUUUUGUCAAAGUGAUACACACAUACAGCAAAAAAUCAAAUAGUACAGAAGUAUAAAAGCAACAACCUCUGCCUUGCCCCUUCUCCACCUUCAGGUCCCCUUCCCAGAUACAAUAAUUUUUAGCUUUUUAUUUUUAAUUAUUCUGGUUGUUACCUACAUAACUCUGGGCAAUAUGGAAAAGUUAUUGAUUUUGUAUAUUAAUUUCAUAAUCAGUUACCUUGAUGAAUUCUCUUGUUUCUAGUAGUUUUUCUUUAGGGUUUUAAAGGGAUACAAUCAUACCAUUUGCAGUUAGUAACCAUUUUAUCUCCUCUUAUUUCCAACUUCGUACUGUUUUCUCUUGUCUAAUUUGUUUUUAAUUGGUGGGUACUUCUAGAACAAGGUUAAAUAAAAGUGGUGUUGGUGGGCGUCCUUAUUUCUGAUAUUAAUGGGAAUGAGUAUAAUGUAUAAAUAUAUAACCAUGAUUUUGGUUUUUUUCCAAGUUUUUAUCAGUAAUGAUUGCUGAGUUUUAUCAAAAUUUUUUUGGCAUCCAUUGAGAGGAUUAUAUAUUACUCUUUGACACAUUAAUGUGGUUAAUUAAAGUAACCAACUUAUUAACCUUGAAAUAGUCUUAGUUAAAUAAACCCUACUUGUCAAUGCUAUAUCAUUAUUUUAAUAUUGUACUGAACAUUUUACAAAGGUGUUUCACCAUAAGGCAUAUUGAUCUGUAAUUUUUUUUUUUCUGUUGAACUUGCUAUUGUCAGGUUUUGGUGUAUUAUGUUGGUUUUGGAGAAUAAAUUUAAAAGUUUCCUUUAUGUUAUCUAUACAUUGCCUGAAAAGAGUUUAAAUAGCAUUGAAAAUGAUCUCUUCUUUGAAGAUUUAACCAAUUUCACCUGUAAAUCUGUCUGUGCUUUGUAAUUUUGGUGAUACUGUUGACUCAAAUUCCAAAAGCAGUAAAUGCAGUGUUUUAUAUUUUUCUAUUAAAAAUGUAAAAUCAAAUUAUAUUACUCAUUUGUAUAUAGUCUUUGAUUUUUUUCUAAAGAAUGAGCCCUUAUUUUAUCAUAAGCUCAGUGAAGAAGUUGCUACAGUUGUACUUUUUUAUUUCCCACCUAAUACACUACUCUCAGAUAAUGUACCACAUGACACACCUAUCUGUGAAUAUCAGAAUCUGAAGUUAUAUAUCAUGUGUAGGCCAAUCUCUUAAGCUCUGAAUUUAUUUGUUCAGCUACUCGAUAUAUUCACUUAGCUAUUCCAUAAGCUAUUCCAUAAGCACUUCAAAUUCAAUAUAUUUAGUUCAUUAUCUGCUCCCCUCUUGCUAUUGCCAAGUUUAAAAUAGUAAUUUCCUCCCUUUCCCUUGCUUCCCACAUCCAAUCAAUUACCAUGCCCCUUUACCUCAGUUUUCUAAAUAACUUUAAAAUCUACCCAUCUCUCUCCAUUUUCCCAGCCACUACCUUAGUUCAAGCUGUCAUGUCUCACGUGUCUUCUGUAACAGCACUCUCGCAGGUCUCUUUGAUCCUAAUUUCACUCACUUACCAUAAUGCAGCCAAGUGAUUUCCUUGUAAUGUAUAGACUAGAUCCUGUCCUUCCCAGAUUAAAAUUCUUUAAUGACUUUGUACUACCCUUGGGAUAAAGUUCACUUUCCUUAUAUAGGGGUCCCUUUAAGAUUUAAUCCCUCUUUACUUUGCUGGCCUCAUUGAGACUCCCUCCCUCCAACACUAUGUUCUACACACAACAAAUCACUUAGGGCUCCUAGACUGCAUACGAUGUUUCACUCCUGGCCUUUGCACACGCUUUUUCUUCUCUCUGGAAUUCUUUUCCCCCAUUCUACAGGUCUUGGCUUAGACAUUACUUCUUCCUGGAAUCUGUCUCCAAACCUGUUUUUGUUGGAUGCCUUCUUCUAUGUUCCCACAUCACACUCUGUAAGGACUAGCCUAUAGAAUUCCUUCCUUUCAGUAGUCUAUAAACUCCUUAGAGGCAGGGACUGCUUAUUCACUGCACCCCAGUACCCAACACAACACUUAGCACACAGUAUGAGCUCACUAAAUGUUUGCUAAGUGAAUGAAUGAACAAACAAAGGGAUGGAAAUGCGCUGUCACUUUGAAGGCAAAAAUGGCACUACUGGCCUAUCAUCUUUAGAUCCCGUCCUAUUAUUCUGAAUUUGACUGUGUCUCCCAAGCUCUCUUACCUAAUUGCCUCUGUGAUCCUGACUCACAAACAGGAAGCAGCUAAAAAUGGGGUAGGGUAUAACUGAAUAAUGAAGAGAUUUCUAAAAAUCACAACUCUGAAGUAGCUAUAGAAUAAGAAAUCAAGGAAAGUUUCCUACUGCAAGAAAUGCUUAAUGACAUUAACAUCAUAGCUGUCAACAUUACUCACUAAAGAAAUGUGGUUCUCUGGAGAAAUAUUACUAAAUUUGGCAAGAAAUUUCUCAGCAGCAUUCCUUUUGGCUUGCUUUUUUGAUGCCCCCUUUCCUGAACAAAGAAAAAGAAAUGGUAGAUUUAGAAAAGAAAUUAGUGUCCACAGAGGAUGAUCAAACGUAUGAAGUACUGUGUUUAAUCAGAGAACCUCACGGUUUUUAUUAUAUACUAGACUAUGUUCUUACUGACCUGAUAACUUUGUUUGUUAUGCUAUUUUGUUUGUAUAGCUAUUAAUUCUUUUUUUUUUUUUUUUUGAGACGGACCCUCACUUUGUCACCAGGCUGGAGUGCAGUGGCACCAUCUUGGCUCACUGCAACCUCCGCCUCCUGGGUUCAAGCAAUUCUCCUGCUUCAGCCUCCCAAGUAGAUGGGAUUACAGGUGCCCACCACCACACCUGGCUGAUUUUUUGUAUUUAGUACAGACAGGGUUUUGCCAUGUUGGCCAGGCUGGUCUCAAACUCCUUACCUCAUAUGAUCGGCCCACCUCAGCCUCCCAAAGGGCUGGGAUUAUCAGUGUGAGCCACUGUGCCAGGCCUGUAUAGUUACUAAUUCUUACACUUUUGAAGACAUUUGUUUUAAGUUUUUCUUUAAUAGUUAUGCUUUCUGUUUUUCUAUAAUAAUUGUAUUUUCCUAUGUCUAGCAUUACUGAACCAU
rnacentral:lncRNA from 1 species